UGCAGAAUCGUGUGUUCUUCAGUUC
rnacentral:piRNA from 1 species